GCAUGCACCACCGCCAUGUUGUCCGAGAAAAAGACCACUUUCUGAUCCCGGAGCCCCUCGCCCCAUAGUGCCAUUGCAACGACCAACGGGAAUAAUUCCAGAUAAGCCAGGUUGCGCAUGACCGGGCUAGACCCCCAUGCCUCCGGCCACCGCUCCGCGCACCAUCUCCCGCCAAAGUAGGCCCCGAAGCCCACACUACCUGAAGCAUCCGUGAAGAGCUCCAACUCCGUCGCCGACUUACCCGCCCGCCUGAAAAACACCGUCCCGUUGAAAUCCUGCAGGAAGGCAUCCCACACGCCCAAAUCAGCC